rnacentral:lncRNA from 1 species
AUGAUUACAUGAGAAGGACCUGCUGUUGCCAGCUGGGAUCUAUUUAUUGGAGAGUACCCAGGAUCAGGGGGAAAUCACCUGCCCUGCAGCCUGACCCUGACAGCUGGGAAGUGGUUGCUCUCUUCAGCAUGGGCUCAGCUCUGUGCAUUCUCAGGGAAGAUGAAAUGCUCUUAAGCAGAGGGGAAGAAAAGAUGCAAGAAGAAAACAAAAAAGAAAAUAACUCCAAGGAAAAGAGAGAGAAGCUCGGAGCUCAUUUUGAAGAUGAGGAAACAGAGGCAAACAGGAUUGAAUGACUUUCCCAGAAUCACACAGGUAGUAUGAAAGUGCCUGAGGCUAGAUUUAUUUAUUUUUAAGUUUUAUAUUACUUCCCCCAUCCCAGAUUACUUCAGAACAAUUUUCAGUAACUGUUUUCUGCCAUUUUUAGAUCUCUCCUCAUGCCCCUCCCCCUUGUCCAAGAUAGCAGGUAAUAUGAUAUAGGAUGUAUAUGUGUUAUUACAUAAUACAUAGUUCCAUGUUCAUCAUGUUGUGGCAGAAAACAUGUAUGGCUAACAUUAGAGAAAAAGUUCACGGGGAGAUAAGGGGCAGAAUGGGAAUAUUUCAAUUUGCUUUCAGAUUUUGUCAGUUCCUUCUUUAGCACUAGAUUGCCUUUUUUCG